rnacentral:rRNA from 1 species
UACAGAGGGAGCAAGCGUUGUUCGGAAUUACUGGGCGUAAAGGGCGCGUAGGCGGUUCGAUAAGUCCCGUGUGAAAUCCCUCGGCUCAACUGAGGAAUGGCACGGGAAACUGACGGGCUUGAGUUCGGGAGAGGGAAGCGGAAUUCCGGGUGUAGCGGUGAAAUGCGUAGAUAUCCGGAGGAACACCGGUGGCGAAGGCGGCUUCCUGGACCGACACUGACGCUGAGGCGCGAAAGCUAGGGGAGCAAACGGG